UUAAAGAUAAGUCUAUUAAAGAUAUUGUUUAGCAGGCUUCUCAAAGUAUCAACUAUACCUGCUCAACUUCUAAAAAGUAAUCUUGUCCCACAGCCCUCCAGAUCAAAUCUGUAUCUAAUCAAGACCCCAUCUUUCAGUUUACAGUAAAUACAGGGGACAUGUUAAUUGACACUAUGGAGACACAGAACCCAGACCAUGGAAAACUGACUCAUUUUCUUCAACAACAACAAAUUACAAGGCAAAAGGGAGACUGAGCUCAGUGAAGAUUACAUCUAUCCAAAUGAGUAACAGAUCAAAGAUGAGAACAACAACAGUAAGUGAAAUUUACAUUUACCAGCUAAGAUAAAUGUUUGGGCAAAAGAAGCCUUUAGAAAGCCUUAGCCAAAUAGGUGUCAUUUUCCUAGAAGUAAUGUGUCUAUUCAACAGUUUUUAUGACAUAAAAGCCAUACUUACAGUCCCAUAAGAAUCUUGAUAAACUAACUGGCUAAAGGUCUCUAAACCUAAGAAAAGUAAAAUGUAUUGCAUUAAUUUACAAAACAGCAAACUGAGACAAUAACAGUGGUAUUUAUCCAAACACAGACUCAUAACCAGAUAAGGCAAAUGAAACAUGUCAGUCCCACACUCUAACAUAUUUUCUAAAAUCAAAGCUGGAUCUUUUAAAAAAUCUCUGUCUCUCUAUUCAUCUAAUAACUGUGCUAUAAUUCAUUGUAUCCAUUCCAUGGGUUUUAUUUGAAUGUUAAACACACACAAAAAAAGAA